rnacentral:tRNA from 2 species
GUGGCUGUGGCUCAGUGGCAGAGCACUUGCCUAGCAUGUGUGAGGCACUGGGUUUGAUUCUCAGCACCACA